rnacentral:rRNA from 1 species
CCCGCUGAACUUAAGCAUAUCAAUAAGCGGAGGAAAAGAAACCAACAGGGAUUACCUCAGUAACGGCGAGUGAAGCGGUAAGAGCUCAAAUUUGAAAUCUGGCCCCUCGGGGUCCGAGUUGUAAUUUGUAGAGGAUGUUUUGGGUACCGCCCCGGUCUAAAUUUCUUGGAACAGAAUGUCACAGAGGGUGAGAAUCCCGUCUUGGACCGGCGGUAGGGCCUGUGUAAAACUCCUUCGACGAGUCGAGUUGUUUGGGAAUGCAGCUCAAAAUGGGUGGUAAAUUUCAUCUAAAGCUAAAUAUUGGCGAGAGACCGAUAGCGAACAAGUACCGUGAGGGAAAGAUGAAAAGCACUUUGGAAAGAGAGUUAAACAGUACGUGAAAUUGUUGAAAGGGAAACGUUUGAAGUCAGUCGCGUCGGCCGAGACUCAACCUUGCUUUCGCUAGGUGCACUUCUCGGUUGACGGGUCAGCAUCAAUUUCGACCGCCGGAUAAAGGUCGGGGGAAUGUGGCAUCCUUCGGGAUGUGUUAUAGACCUCGAUUCGGAUACGGCGAUUGGGAUUGAGGAACUCGGCGCUCUGCGUCCAGGAUGCUGGCAUAAUGGCUUUAAGCGACCCGUCUUGAAACACGG